CCUACGGGAGGCAGCAGUGGGGAAUCUUGCGCAAUGGGCGAAAGCCUGACGCAGCCAUGCCGCGUGAAUGAUGAAGGUCUUAGGAUUGUAAAAUUCUUUCAGUAGGGACGAUAAUGACGGUACCUACAGAAGAAGCCCCGGCUAACUUCGUGCCAGCAGCCGCGGUAAUACGAAGGGGGCUAGCGUUGCUCGGAAUUACUGGGCGUAAAGGGAGCGUAGGCGGACAUUUAAGUCAGGGGUGAAAUCCCAGAGCUCAACUCUGGAACUGCCUUUGAUACUGGGUGUCUUGAGUGUGAUAGAGGUAUGUGGAACUCCGAGUGUAGAGGUGAAAUUCGUAGAUAUUCGGAAGAACACCAGUGGCGAAGGCGACAUACUGGAUCAUUACUGACGCUGAGGCUCGAAAGCGUGGGGAGCAAACAGGAUUAGAUACCCUGGUAGUCCACGCUGUAAACGAUGAUUGNUAGUUGUGGUUGUUUACUAACUACGUGACGCAGCUACGACAUAAGUACAACUACCGCCGUCGGGAGGUACGGUCGGCGAAGAAGUUAAAACUUAACUAAAUUAAGUUAAGUUAGUUACGGACGUGAGAGUUGCCGAACGGACGACGACGAGGGGAGGAGGAG
rnacentral:rRNA from 1 species